AAAAAAGACAUGCAAAGUACAUGUUACCCCAUAAUGCUGAGAUGAAAAAAGAAAAAUCAUGAAAAACAAAUAAUGAAGAAAAUUAUGCAGCCUGGCAGCUUUAGCUAAUUAAUGUUGAACACCAGGAUUAUGACUUGUAUAAAUGCAUUAAGAGCCACGGCAUAAUUUCUGAUGUGAGAGAAUAUGCUUUGCAACUUUUAGUCCUUGUGGGACACAGAUUUAAGUAAAUGAAAUUCAUGUUUCCAUAAAUUAUUGUUUUAAACAGGGGCCACAUCCAUUGCAAAUGAUGAUUAGCAUUAAAACACAGGCUGUGCAACAGAAAGUGGUCAUUAGCAAGUUUUUCUCACAGCUGUCAGAAACCUUCUGUCACCCUGUGCCAAGACAGCGUUCCGCCCACUACUGUUUCACGCCAAGGGCAGAGAGAGAGUGAGAGAGAAGGAGAGCACGCCAGGCCCCAGAAGCAGCAUUAACAAAAACAGGUGAAUCAGACUGAGGAGGUGAAGGGUGCCAAUCCAUGACGCUGUGAGUGGAAAGAUGGGGUGGAAUGUGGAAUGGACAAGAUUCGAGAGUAGAUGAAUGAGGCAGUACGGUCAUGUGGCAGAAGGCCCCUCCUGCCUCUAGAUGCCCCUUCAUUCUGAUGGAUGUCAUCAAUAAUGGACGCCCAUUGCUCACUUCCACCCCGGGACACAAAAAAACACAAGCCAGCCGAAGUGGCAGCCCAAGCACAGCAGAGCUCAUCAGCUCCCCCGCAUCGGACCGUACCACAGCACACCACACCAUAGCUCAUCACAGCACGCCAGCAGACUGGCACGGCUCAGCACUCCAGAAAGUCCAGCCCUGCCACAGAGACACAUCUGCAAUAAACCCCCACCCAGAACAAGAGCUGAACACACAACUCACUGUCUACAGCUAAUUAGAGACAUGGGGUGGGUGAUACAAGCAGAUAUUUUCUCAAUCCCAAUAUUCUCGAUUUUGGCAAGCAUCUAUAUACGGUGGGAUCCAAAAUCUUACAUAACUGUAUCUAUUUUGCAUUUUUCCAAUGUAAUAGGUUUCCUUUCAUUAGAAAUUAUAUUGACUGCAUGACAAUUGGAGUACACAAACUUGGGCUGCAAGAACUCCAUAUGUUUGUGUCAAACCUGAUGAUCCUGUUAUUCAGCAAGAAUAGAAACAAAAAAAUGUUACCUUUUGUGUGAUAAAUGCCACAAAUUUGAUUAUUUGAUUAGAGAUGCAUUAUUCAUUUUACAUUAUAACUUUUUUAUAUAGUUUCCUUAUUUCACAUUUGUUUUUUUAAAUGGUAAGUCUGUAUUUCUUUCUUUUUUUUUUCUUCAAAUUUUACAUUUUGAAUACCAAAUAUAAACAUUUUCAAUGUGUUCACAGACUUUU
ensembl:lncRNA